AUAUCAAUGGACUGUCUUUCCUAAUGUCUUUGAGUGGCUGUCCAUCUUUCACCAUCAAUGGGGACUUCUUGUACUCAAUCCUGGCCUGUCUAAGGCUCACCUAAUCGAUUACAACUUGCAAUGAACUUGGAUGUAAAAUAAUAAAGUCUUAUUCUUUCUUUGGUGAUGGGCAUCUUUUAUCAAGAUGUACUGCUUAUACUGUAUCUAAUACAUC